rnacentral:tRNA from 1 species
GGCUCCGUAGUUCAAUGGAUAGAAUUUUAGAUUCCGGUUCUGACGAUAUGGGUUCGAAUCCCUUCGGAGUCA